ensembl:lncRNA alpha-lactalbumin-like
AUUCCCUGUAAGAGGAACACACAGAAAUCGUGAUAAUUCAUCCAGACGUGAAGAUGUUGGCAGUUGUGGUUGUUUUAUUUCUAGCGCUCGGCGUGAGUGACGGAGUGAUUUUGAGUAAAUGUGAGCUGAAGCAGCAGCUUGAAAGAGGCCUGACACUGCAAAUCCCCAAUUCUGCAGACGUGCUGGCAAAGAUCGUGUGUCACGUCCAGCUGACCUCUGGCUUCAAUACCAGCGCCAUUAAGACGAUCGCUGAGCCACAAGAGCCCCGUAGAGGUCCCGGUCCUCGCCGUGGUAGGUCUCCCGGAGGAAAAAGUGAAGGUGGCUCUUCCAGUAAUGAAAGUGAUGGGGACAACGAUGAGGUCUGGACCCUGUACGGCUUGUUCCAGCUUAGCGACCAUGUGGUGUGCAACUCUGCUCAAAGUCGUGCACUGAACCUCUGCAGACUGUCCUGCGACAAGCUGAUUGACGAUAACACCAGUGAUGACAUAGCCUGUGUCCAGGCCCUUAUAAAUGCAGUAACUUCACCGAUUCCUGACCCCAAAACUGCUAGACACAUCCAUGAAAUGAUCUCGCUGAUCCACCAGCCAGAGUGUAUGACCAUGAAGGCCACUUCCUACUUUGCCGACUGUCAAACGCCCUAAAGUCCUGACCUCUAUUAGCACCCUGCUUUACUUUUGCAUUUAUGUGCAUUUAUAUUCGUAGCUUUCUUGCAAGACAACAAAAUUCAAGCACAAGUAGCUUGUGUUUUGUACUUGUAUGAGUCAUUAAAGCCAUUUGAAAAGCAGUGUUGUGCUCAUGAAUUUAAUUAAGGCCUGU